rnacentral:lncRNA from 1 species
CGUUUCAAAAAAGCAUCAUCAACAGAUCUUUUGUACCAAUUCCGAAAAAAAACUACCCAACAAUUCAACAAUGAAACCAAACUCCAGCAAAUCCUAACAUGUUUCCAGUUCCAAGGUUCCAGCAUAAUAGUGUAUUGCAUGACCUCACAUACAGCCUUAUAAGGAGCCAUGCCAAUACUUGCCUGGUAGCUAUUGUUUUUUUUUUUUUUCUUUUUUUUGGGACAAACAUCUAAAUUUCAUUAAUUAAAAAGUUUCAACCUCUAUCAGAAGAGGGAAUACAUCCAAAGCAAAGGAAAUAAAGGCAACAAAUGCCAAAAAGACCAUCAAAAAGAUGGUUAAACAAGGGAUAGAUAAGAUACAAAUCAAAGGAAGACAACAUACGAGACCAACAAACAAGUACAAUCUCAGUAGCUUCUUGAUAGAUUGCAUCCUUAAUAACCCGAGGGG